ensembl:snRNA U6 U6 spliceosomal RNA
UUGCUCUCUUUGGCAGCACAUAUACUAAUAUUGUAACAAUACAGAGAAGAUUAGCCUGACCCCUGUAUAAGGGUAAUAUGCAAAUUUAUGAAGCAUUCCAUAGUUUU